AUUUAUUGUUUAUAUUUGGCUUUGGAUGGUGCUAUUGCAAGAAGCCGAUACAAAUCAUGUGCAUUCAUAUGCUUUAUAUCAAAAUUGAAAUAUUUUUGGAUUACUAGUUUUUCCUAUUAUUUACUCAUGUUCUUGUUUUUCUGUUAUUGCGGCUCAAUUGGUUUUCUCCAAAAAUGGUGAAGGGAAAGUGAUAUGCAUCCCUGUUGUGGUGGCGGUAUGUUCACUCAUUGGCGUAAUCUUUUGUAUUACAUCUCUCAAAUUAAUAUAAGGCAUCUCAAAUUGAUUGUGAAAUUCACAUGCUAAAUCAAAUGAUUAAGUUUGAAAAUUGAUUUGGCUAGAUGGUUCGGUUUAUGCUCAGGUGCUCAACUGCAAAUGAAUUUUCUGUAUUCAUUCCUUUAUAACUUGGACUCAAAACAAUUGCAUUGGUACUGGGCGUGGAUGCAAUGAUGUGUGCUUUGGUAUGAUACUACUAAAGGCGUAUGAAUAACUGGUUCCGAUAACAGCAUUGGGUGCAAUCCUAACUGAGAAUUGGAAGGAGACCUCUCCUAUUGAUAGGAUCCACAACAAAAUGGGUGAAGGUUAGUUUCUGCAACCAAUGUAAUCUCAAGUGAUAAAUAUUUUGUUUGUCUUAUGUGAUAUUUAAAGCAUGUUGUAAGUUUUCCUGGUAGUGUCGUCAGUAGAUCUUGGUUGUUUUUUCACUCAAAUGUACUCAAAUUUUAGCUCUUUAUUUUUAUUUUCAGAUGCACAACUUUCUGGUUGUUGCUUCUGUGUUGCAAAUUGGCAUUCAGCUCUUACAUCUAAGUAAAUUUCUGUUUUAUUGUUUUUGUUGAAUCCCUUGGAAAUAUAAGCAGUGAUUCUAUUUGGUGUUGUUUCUUAAUCUGUCCUGCUAGUGCAGAUAAAACCUUUGGUGAAGCCAACCAAAGACAAUGAAAGUUCAUCGCAUUAAAUAUGCUUGGGCGAUCUACUCAUCUGAUUAGUUGGCUAUGAAUGGACAAUUGGAAAUAAAGUAAAACCAUUGUCCUGAUUGCAUUGGGGGUAGUUCAUCUGGAGGAUGUAUGGGAUCAUUCGAUGG